GAUUAGAUUUUAUUUAUUAAUUAUUAAUAUUAAAUUUUAAAAUAUUAGAAAUAACUAUAAAUUUAAGUGUUUUAGUAUUGUUUAAAGAAAAAAUAAUUUUAAUAAUAGUGCAAUAGUAUUGUGAAAGAAAAUUGAAAUAAUUUGAAAAAUUUUUAUUAUAAAAGAAAAUUUAAUUUAUUGUACCUUGUGUAUCAGCGUUUAUUAAAUAAAAAAUAAAUAUUUAUUUUUCUCGAUUUUAAAAGAGUUAAUAUAAUAUGUAAGUUAAUGUGACAAAAUUAUUUAAAAUAUUAUAUUAGAAAUGAAAUGUUAUUCGUUUUUAAUGGUAUCUAGUUUUUCAAGAAAUAAAUUUAAUUUAGAAAUUAUAAAUUUAUUUAAUUAUUUAAAAAAUUAAAUAAUUUUAUAAUUUUAAUAUUUUAUGGGAUAAGCUAUAAAAUAAAUUUUUAAAAAUGAUAAAUAAAUUUAAUAAAUAUAUGCUUAGAAUUAGCAAUUAUUAAAAAAUUUGUUAUAAUUUAUUUUAUAAAUUAAAUUAUUUAUUAAAUUUUAAUUAUUUAUUGAAAUAUUAAUUUUACUUUAUAAAAUUAAGAAAUAAUGAUAGAAUUAGUAUAUUUUUAUGUAUAAAUAAAUUUUAAUGAUAAGUUUAAGUAAAGAAUUCGGCAAAAAUAAUGUUCGCCUGUUUAACAAAAACAUGUCUUUUUGAAUUAAAUAUAAAGUCUAACCUGCCCACUGAAAUUUUUAAAUGGCCGCAGUAUUCUGACUGUGCAAAGGUAGCAUAAUCAUUAGUCUUUUAAUUGAAGGCUGGAAUGAAUGGUUGGACGAAAUAUUAACUGUUUCAUUUAAAUUUUUUAUAGAAUUUUAUUUUUUAGUCAAAAAGCUAAAAUAAAUUUAAAAGACGAGAAGACCCUAUAAAUCUUUAUAUUUUAUUUAUUUUAAUUAUAAAGAUUAUUUUAAUUUUAAUAAAAUAAAAUAUUUUAUUGGGGUGAUAUUAAAAUUUAAAAAACUUUUAAUUUAUUAAAACAUUAAUUUAUGAAUUAUUGAUCCAUUAAUAAUGAUUAAAAAAUUAAGUUACUUUAGGGAUAACAGCGUAAUUUUUUUGGAGAGUUCAUAUCGAUAAAAAAGAUUGCGACCUCGAUGUUGGAUUAAGAUAUAAUUUUGGGUGUAGCCGUUCAAAUUUUAAGUCUGUUCGACUUUUAAAUUCUUACAUGAUCUGAGUUCAAACCGGUGUAAGCCAGGUUGGUUUCUAUCUUUAAAAAAUUAUAAUAUUUUAGUACGAAAGGACCAAAUAUUAGAAUAAAUAUAUUUUUUAUUAUGAAUAUUAUUAAUUUAACUAUUUUGGCAGAUUAGUGCAAUAAAUUUAGAAUUUAUUUA
rnacentral:rRNA from 1 species